rnacentral:rRNA from 1 species
AGAGUUUGAUCAUGGCUCAGAUUGAACGCUGGCGGCAGGCCUAACACAUGCAAGUCGAGCGGAUGACGGGAGCUUGCUCCUUGAUUCAGCGGCGGACGGGUGAGUAAUGCCUAGGAAUCUGCCUGGUAGUGGGGGACAACGUUUCGAAAGGAACGCUAAUACCGCAUACGUCCUACGGGAGAAAGCAGGGGACCUUCGGGCCUUGCGCUAUCAGAUGAGCCUAGGUCGGAUUAGCUAGUUGGUGGGGUAAUGGCUCACCAAGGCGACGAUCCGUAACUGGUCUGAGAGGAUGAUCAGUCACACUGGAACUGAGACACGGUCCAGACUCCUACGGGAGGCAGCAGUGGGGAAUAUUGGACAAUGGGCGAAAGCCUGAUCCAGCCAUGGCCGCGUGUGUGAAGAAGGUCUUCGGAUUGUAAAGCACUUUAAGUUGGGAGGAAGGGCAGUAAGCUAAUACCUUGCUGUUUUGACGUUACCGACAGAAUAAGCACCGGCUAACUCUGUGCCAGCAGCCGCGGUAAUACAGAGGGUGCAAGCGUUAAUCGGAAUUACUGGGCGUAAAGCGCGCGUAGGUGGUUUGUUAAGUUGGAUGUGAAAGCCCCGGGCUCAACCUGGGAACUGCAUCCAAAACUGGCAAGCUAGAGUACGGUAGAGGGUGGUGGAAUUUCCUGUGUAGCGGUGAAAUGCGUAGAUAUAGGAAGGAACACCAGUGGC